AGCGAGAGCAGGAAGACGAGAAUAGGGGAACAGAGGGAUAAAAAAAGAUGUCGAAAGAGAAGCACGACAGCGGAGAGGAGGAUGUGUAACUCACUCAGUUUCAACAUUUUAAAACAACACGUGAAAUCACAGCCAUGCGAGCUGGCUCGAGGGAUGGGGGUCUGUCGGUCCAGACUCAAAUAUCUCAACAACUAAUCGGGUGGAUUGACGCGAAAUUUUGUUCCGACGUUCAUGAUCCCCAGAGGAUGAAGCCUGCGGACUCUUGGCGAGCCUCCGGCUUUUCCUCCAGCAUCCAGUGACGAUAAUGACGUCGCCAGCCUCAGCUGUACUUUGUGUUUAUUGCUAAUUAGCAAGUGUUAGCAUGCUAACACGCUAAACUAUGAUCACGAACAUGGUAAAACAUUACACCUGCUUAGCAUCAGCAUGUUAGCAUCCUUGUUAGCAUUGAGCACAGCCUCACAGAGCAGCUUUUUCUACUUCCUGUAUUCACUUUAUAACUGUAUAUAACUUUAAAUUAACUUUUUAUUUAUGCUGUAGCUUUCCUAAUGUUUUGUUUCCUUUGCUCUGCUUUUGUCAUGUUUGUACCUACAGUCUCUUGUGCUGAAUUGCCCCCCCCCCCCCGUGGAUCAAUAAAGUGCUGAUUCAGUUUCAUUUUCAACUGAA